rnacentral:rRNA from 1 species
UACGAAGGGGGCUAGCGUUGCUCGGAAUUACUGGGCGUAAAGCGCACGUAGGCGGCUUUCUAAGUCGGGGGUGAAAUCCUGGAGCUCAACUCCAGAACUGCCUUCGAUACUGGAAAGCUCGAGUCCGGGAGAGGUGAGUGGAACUGCGAGUGUAGAGGUGAAAUUCGUAGAUAUUCGCAAGAACACCAGUGGCGAAGGCGGCUUACUGGUCCGGUUCUGGACGCUGAGGCGCGAAAGCGUGGGGAGCA